rnacentral:rRNA from 1 species
ACCUCAGAUCAGGUAGGAAUACCCGCUGAACUUAAGCAUAUCAAUAAGCGGAGGAAAAGAAACCAACAGGGAUUGCCCUAGUAACGGCGAGUGAAGCGGCAACAGCUCAAAUUUGAAAUCUGGCGCAAGCCCGAGUUGUAAUUUGUAGAGGAUGUUUCUGGCGACGUGCCUUCCGAGUUCCCUGGAACGGGACGCCAUAGAGGGUGAGAGCCCCGUACGGUUGGAUGCCUAGCCUCUGUGAAACUCCUUCGACGAGUCGAGUAGUUUGGGAAUGCUGCUCUAAAUGGGAGGUAUACGUCUUCUAAAGCUAAAUACCGGCCAGAGACCGAUAGCGCACAAGUAGAGUGAUCGAAAGAUGAAAAGCACUUUGAAAAGAGGGUUAAAAAGUACGUGAAAUUGUUGAAAGGGAAGCGUUCAUGACCAGACUUGGGCAGGUUGAUCAUCCGUGGUUCUCCGCGGUGCACUCUGCCUGCCCAGGCCAGCAUCAGUUCGCCCCGGGGGAUAAAGGCUUUGGGAAUGUGGCUCCCUCGGGAGUGUUAUAGCCCACUGUGUAAUACCCUGGGGNGGAC